GGAAGUGUGAGGGGAGAGGUGGGUGAGGUGGGGACGGUGUAGGGGAGUCACGGAGUCUUAGAAUAGGUGAGGGUGGAAGGGAGUACAGUGGGUCACCUGGCCCAACCUCCGUGCUCAGGCACGGUCGUCCCAGAGCACAUGGUACAGGAUUGCGUCCAGGCGGUUCUGGGAUAUCUCCCAGAGUGAGGGAGACUCCACACCCUCCCUGGGUAACCUGCUCCAGCGCGCAGUUACUGCACGACAGAAGAAUUCCUGGUGAUGCUGUCAGGAAAUGUGUGCCAUGGUACAGAGGAUUGUGGCAUGUGAGGCUUGGAGAGAGGACCCACUUUUACCAUGCUGACAGGCUGAUGGGGACCGAUCGUGAGAACUGCAGGUAACGUGCACUGGAAAUCCUGCUGGUAUCUGAAAGCCUCAGGAUCUGACAAGCAUAAGGAAAUAAAGCCAAAUCCGUGUAAUCCUCAAGAAGCCUGGAGGAUAAGGGGAAGGAAAUUUAGACUGACAACUCUCCAGGUCUUACUUUUCUCUGCCUUGCACUUUCAUAGGCACCAGUGGAAUGUGUGCAGGACAUCAGGGCUGUUUGAUAACAUUUUGCAGCGACUUUGAUUUGCAGCAGUGUGAAUAACCCCACGAGCUCCAACGCACAAGGGAAGUAGACUCCAGGUGUCUGUUUCCAGCAGAGUCCAGCCCUGCUUAAAUUUUGGAUUAUUUCAGUGAAUUCCUGCAUGUCAUCCUACGCUUGCAUAAGAGCAGGUGAAAUCUAAAGUUUUGCCGCUGACCGUAACGCACCCAGAUGUUUGGGGGAGUUUUAAGUAUUUCUGCUUAGUUUUCUCACAGGCAAGGAUUAUAAAAUCAAAGUAGACAGAAACAAUGAAUGUACUUUAUCUAAGUUCCCAUAUUGGUACAAAUGGCUGUAAUAUCUCGGCAGGAGUUGCAGGUGCAGGUAUAAUGCAAACUGUGUGCUUUUCAUGGGAAUAUCACAUACCUCUUUACUGUAUGUGAUGUAUAUAACUCUAGAACAUAAAUUGUCCUGAGGAAUAAAGAAAAGAAUAAUUUUAAAAGUGAGGCAUGAACCAAGGCACCAAAUACUGAUGCUUACUCAUAAGCAAAAGUUAAUUUCAUCAGUGAUAGUCUGGAGAAGGUAAAGUUUCCUAAUUAUUGCUUUGAAGUUUUUAAAACUUUACUAAGAUGUAAUUGUUUCAAACAAAUACAUUCACCUUUUUAGUAACAUAAAGCAAUGUAGAAAGUGAUGUAUAUGCCAAGCCAAAACUGAACAAAAUGAUUUUUUGUUUCUCAACAAGCUGCACUUCCCCAUGGGGUGGUUGAUGGCCUGUUGCUUUUGAGCAGUGCCAUACAAGUGCCAGUCAGUCUCCCAGACUGCAGUGCCAGCAGACUGGCUGUGACAAUGGCUUAUUCAUAACGUCUGUGUUCCUCCUUGAUUCUUGAUUGCAAAAUGCAUGUUAAAGGUUUUAUUUUUUUUUAUUUUCAGAUGAGGUCUUCAAUGUUUAUGUGAACUGAGAAAGCAUCUGUAAAUGAAAGAGCAAAAUAAUCAUUAAUACUCAUUCAGUCAAAAACUUUGUAUGACCUCUCAGCUUUCCACUUUCUUUGCUAAAAUACUUGGGUAUUUUGUCAAUUUAAAUACUUCCCUUCCUUACUGGGAUGCUGUGAGUAUAAAUACACUGUCAUUCUUCUUCUGCAGAGAAAAAGCAAGAACAGAAACUAAAUGCUGAACCUCACUAAGGGGCCUCAACGUUGGCAUAAUGACCUCUAGGUUCUUUCCUCAGGCUGAAAUCCAAAUGCUCAAUUAUGUUUCAUAUAAAAUGUACCUUAAACCUGACACCUUAAACCUGAAUAACCACUGUACAGGCUGGUUGGGCUUAGCAAUUGAAAACGCUGAGGAGAGGAGAUGUGUCUGAAAUUUCUUUGUGCAAGGCAGUUCUGGGGAUAUGUGUUCUGGAAUUUUCUUUUGGAGCUGGUGUGUUUAACUAGUCCUUUUGUAAAGGCCCCAUGAUUCAGUCUUAUUUGAGGACAUGAUUGAAGGAAGAGGUGAUGGUUCUUGCCGUUAAUACACAGUCAACUUUCCACCGUCAAUGGAUGGCCUGACUAGAGUUUGGAGAUUAUGCUGAGAUUCCGUCUGACUGGCUGGAAUAGUAGUGGCUAGGAUACACUGGAGAAUGGGGGGAAAAUAUCACAUAAUAUUAGUGCUGCUUUAUAGUUCUGAACCGUAAGUGGUCACUGUGAAACCAAAUUAGGGGCAUCCAGGCCCUUUUCUUGUUUAGAUCAGGCAGAGUAUGGAUACACAGAGCCAGAUUUGGUCAGCAAUGCACAGCAAUAUUUGCCUGGAACUGGUUCUGAGGUAAUAGGUCUGCUGGGCUGAGCCAGCCCUGGCCAGAACUGAAGUGUGCUUGUAUUGCCCUUCUCAAAUGAGUCUCUUGCGUACAUAUGUCUCACUUGGCUCAGAUCUGGCAGAACUUACUGUUUCAGGCUUAGUGCUUGGUCUGUAGUCCCUUUGGAUUCUUGCAGGGCUUAUUUGCUUGGCAGCUGGGCCACCUCUGACCUGGCUCAGUACCUCUCAUCUGCAGAAACAAAGCUCUUUACAGCUGGGAACCAGCUUAGCCUGAUAAACAGAAGAUCUUUGUGUCAGCUGAGCCCUGCCAUUAAUGAGGCACAUUGAUCCCCUGUCUUUCCCCCUGCUACAGUGGGAAUGUGGGUGUAAUAGCUGAGCAGGUAGCAUGGAGUGCAGAUCUCCUGUUUCUUGCUCAGAUGCCCUGUCUUCAGCCUUGCAAGAUUCAAAUCCCUAUUCCCAGCUUUCCAGGAGGUGCUGUGUUGCCUCAGUAGCAUUUUCAAGCUGUGAUGCUGUGCAGCCAAGAACCAUGGCUCUGUGCAGCCAGGGGGGAGGAUCCAAAAGGAAGCUGCUGCCUGACCUCCUCUGAGAAAGGAGAGCCUGAAUCCCUGUUUCUGCAUGUGCAGGCUUUGUUGGGUGAAAUGAAGCAGUCUGGGGAGUAGAGAUCAUCAGUGAUCUUACAGGUGCUGUGACACAUUUUGUGUCACCUUUUUGGAGCACUUUUGAAAUCUUGGUCUGCUUUACUGUAGAAAAGAGUUUUCACUUGACAUCUGGAAAUGUUUGUUAUGAGGGGAGGUUUUGGUGUAACCGUGUCUGUUCUGUGCUACGUUUGUUCUCCCACCAGGAGAGGGCACAGGCAAAGCAGGGGCAGAGACACCAGCAAUCCACGUAAUGCAGCAGGUUUUGGAAUACAAACUAGAAGAGCAUUACUUCCACUGGGCUUCAAAAAAACAAGUAUUGUCUUGGUUUAUGUACUAUUGUACAAAAAAAAAAGAUCGUUAUAAAAUUAAUUAUUGAACAGUAGUGAGGAAAAAUAACAGUGCAUUUGCUGGAUGGGCAUGUUUGCAAAGAGAUUGUCACUUCUUUCCUGAAUUCAUUCAGAUCAUUACUAUGACACGUAGGUACUUUGUCAUCCCAAAUGAGUAUGUAGAGCAAUGCAAUUGCACUGCAGGAAGAAGAGUGAUGUGGAAAAGGCUCUGCUUUUAUUGAGGAGAUAUCAAUUUAUAGAAGAAGCUAAGGAUUGCAGUGCUUUAUCUGAAUAUUUAUUCACAGAAGAUGUGUAAUUCUAGGGCAGUCACGCUCCAGCUGUUCAAAAGUAUCAGCUGCUGAAUUACAGCAUCAGCUCACAUCUGUAUUAAUAUGCACCAUUUUAAAGAGCCAUUGGGAUUGUAUAUAAGACUUUUGCAUUAUUUAUGUUUAUAACUUGAUGAUUAUUUGAAAUUUGCUAUAACAGGUAAGUUCAUAGCAUUUUUCAUAACAAGUGUAAGAAUUCUGAUUUUUAUAUCAAGAGAUCUGCAAUCUCUUUUUCUUCCACUUACGUAGUUAUCUUAGAGUCUGAUUCUUCUCUCACACCACACUGGUACAGUGUCUUUUAUUUCAGUGCAGCAGAAUUGUCUCCAAGAGAUGCAUCAGGCCCAAGACACCUUCCUUGCAAGUGAAAUGGAGAGGAAUGAGUGUUCCCAAGGAAAAAUUGUCAUAUAGUGCAGAACUUGAUAAGAUCUGCAGAUGACAAGUUUUCCUUGGGUCCUGAUAUGUCAGCUCAUGUGAGUGGGUAAUCUUCAUUAUUCACUCCUUUAUGUGAAAAUUAGCUAUGGCAUAGGGAAUACUGACUAGGAGAGUGGUCAGGGAUGUUCUUUCUUACAGGACAUAAACAGCAUAUAACAGCACCGCUCCAUGACAGCCUUGGUAUUUUGCAUUUAUUAAGUGCUGGAGCCUUACUUGUUUUCUUUGAACAAUAAACAAAAAUAGAGAUAGAAAACUGUCUAGCACUGUGGGAUGCUUGUGGUAGGGAGAGCUAAUUUAAGAAAAUCUCAAGUAUUUUUAAACUAGUGCUUUUAGGAAACUGGGCUUAUGCUACCUGCUUGAUUGCUUCCACAGAUGAUAAGGUUGCAGCAUAAGCUGCAUUAUAAUAACUGACAACAGAAAUUCCAUCUAGAACGCAAACUGCGUCAGUAUCUUCAUCUUAGGAAGAGCUUUGAUCAGAAAUUUUUGGUUUUUUGAGACACACAAAGGAAUCCAAACAUGAAACACAACUGGAGGAAACCAGGCCUUUUAAGCUCUGUUUCUCAGAAGCUACUUACUUUCAAUGGCUUGUUUAGAUCUACCUUAAAAAAAAGCCCAAAGCUGUAGACACAGUUUCUCUAAGAGUGCAUGAGCCAGGUGCCAGCACAGAGAGAGCCGGUCCCGGGCACUCCAGACCUGUGCUGCUUUGUACAAGUUCUGGUGCCACGUGGAUCCUGAGGCUGCAGCACCUGCCAGAACCAUGGUUUGUUUGACUUGGUAGCUGAUGGUUAAUCUGAACCACCAGCUCUGAGGGUAAGUCAGCAGGGGCUGCAGGUGUCAGCAGCACAUUUGACCUUGCCCUGUCUUGUCAAAUGGUUGGACUUGCUAUUGUCCUCUCUGGUCAGAACUAUUCCAGUUUUCCUGCCCCAGGGUUCCCCAGCUGUAGUGGUCAUCACCUAUUGGAGUAUUUUGGCACAUAGUUUAUGGGGUCAGCGGAGGCUGAUCUGAGUCAUCAAGGUACUAGAUGACAAAUGCAGGAACUGGAAAAAAGAUGGAGAGUAACGAAUUGCUGGGUUUGGACGCAUCUGUGUUAAUAUGCAGACUGUGUCUAUGAAUUUGAUUAAAAUGGAGUACUAAAGCAGUGUGUUGAUAGCCAGAUGUUUGCAUUUUCUGAAUGUCGGUACUUUAUAUUCCUUAGUUUAUCUCACUGAAUUUCACUGUAAUAACGUUCCCAGAUAAAGCUAAAUCAUGGGAAAGCCAGAGAAUGCUGAAAGGCUGUCAUUUCUGCUCCGAAGGAAUGUUGUUAUCUUCCAGCAUGAACACCCUUGACAUCAGCUGGUCAAGCUGCAAUAUUCCUAAUGGAGAAGCACAAGGUCACUAAUAAUGGGUUUGGCAUCAUCUGACAAGGCACAUGUCUGUCCUCUAGAAGGACAGAGAAAGGAAAAAAAAAAAUUCAUUGUGCUUGCUCAACAGUGUAAUGUUCAGAAUUGUAUCCAUAGCCUAGGAAACAAAAAACAUCAUUCGCCCCAUUGAUGUUUACAUGAUGUGACAGUGUAAGAGCCUUUAGAGAAAUAAUAUGUUCUGAUAGGUUUAGGGUUUUUUUCUGUAACUCUGUGGCAUAAAGGGCACUGGGCCUGCUAAAGCUCAUUUUCUCCAGCUGAAAACCAGAUUGGAGUAGACACACCUAAAAGGAAAGACAGAAUUUGAAAGGAUGGAGAAGGUGUGAUUGUCCUUUAUGCCAGGUGACUAUGAGCAUGUUUAAGUGGAUGAAUUCUGCAACAGGAUGCAUUUCACAAGCAUUUAAAUGUUGAGCCAGAAAAAUGCUGAAGACUUUUGAUUCCCACUCACUUGAAUGAGCUGAUCCUUUUCUGGGACAAAUCACUUCAAAUAAAAUCAGUAAUAACUUAUUUAUUGAGUGGUUCCUGUCUCCAGUCUUUUUUAACAAACUGAAGAAUUUUUAAUUUAAUUUGCUAAUGUGUUGGCAAGUUAUAUCAGUGUACAGAAAGGAUCCUUUAAGGAUUGGCAAUCCCGUUUUCUAUCGGGCACUGCAUAUGCUAGACUCAGCAGUAUGACACAAUGUCACAAAAUGAGCAUAAGUUUCUGGUUUUGUGCCUCUUCCUAAGACUCCAUUAGAAAUCUGGUUUCCUGACUGCAGCUCUGCACUGGUGUCUUUCCCUUCUCCCCAUUUACAGACUGCAUCAGUCCUCAUUGUGCUGCCCAGGACGUUCACAGAUCAAUCUCCCAUUAUGAAACACAGGCAAGUUUAUAGGCUUGGAUAUGACAUAAAAUGAUGAAGAUUUUAAGACCAUCUCUUUCCAAAAACAAGAAAGUUUUUGCAUACUUAAAUACUUUCUGUUCUUAUAUCCAACAACAUUUCACGCAAAAUAUGUCCAUGACAGACUGCAUUUGUUCUUACAAAAGCACAUUUGGGAACAUUGAUGGUAAAGUUUUUGUUCCGUUGUGAUAGUAGGUGGAAAGUUUGUAGUUGGAUCUAAAUUUCUGCAAAGAGUAAUUGUGAAAAAAUUAGGAGCUUAGAUUUGGGUCAUCAAAGAGAAGAUUUAUGGAAACAUAGAGCUUGCAUUGGCCAUACACAUAUUGAUGAACUUUGCCUUCUGUGGUUUCUCAACACAAAAUAGUGCUUAUCCUCAUGUCAGGAAAAAAUGCGAUAUCAGAGGUAAUGUUAUACUGAGAUUUCACUUUGCUCAGAUAAAGAUAUUUGUCAAUUAUAACCCAGCAGAACAUUUCCUAGUAUGAUGCUGCCAGAGUUUAAAUAAUUAAAAAUGAGUUGUCUUCAGCAAAUGAAUAAAGUACACCUAAUGGAGCAUUAUCAUUUGAA